rnacentral:piRNA from 1 species
UGGAGGCUCAGCGCGCGAGCGUGCGCGUA